rnacentral:rRNA from 1 species
GAUGAACGCUAGCGGCAGGCUUAAUACAUGCAAGUCGUGGGACAGCAGGACUGUAGCAAUACAGUUGCUGUCGCCCGGCAAACGGGUGCGGAACAUGGACGCCACUUAUCUUGAACUGGGGGAUAGCCCGGGAAAACCCGGAUUAAUACCCCGUUAUAUAAUGCAGUGGCAUCACUUUAUUAUUAAAGCUCCGGCGGUUCCGUAUGGGCGUGCGGCUGCUUAGGUAGUUGGUUGAUGUAACAGCUCAUCAAGACUACGAAGAGUAACUGCUGUGAGAGCACGACCAGUUAGACGUGCACUGAGACACGGACCCGAAUGCGACGCAAGGGAGCAGUAAGGAAUAUUAUGCAAUGGAGGCAACUCUGACCCCGCCAUGCCGGGUAGAGGAGGAAGGGCCUCGUAGUUGUAAACUUCUUUUAUAGGGGACGAAAGCUGUGUAUUCUUACGCAGUUGACGGUACCCUAGGAAUAAGCACCGGCUAACUCCGUG